UACGUAGGGGGCAAGCGUUGUCCGGAUUUACUGGGCGUAAAGCGCCUGUAGGCGGAAACUUAAGCGGUACCUGAAAGCCCCCGGCUCAACCGGGGAAGGUGGCGCCGAACUGGGCUUCUUGAGGGCGAUAGAGGAAGGUGGAAUUCCGGGUGUAGCGGUGAAAUGCGUAGAGAUCCGGAGGAACACCAGUGGCGAAGGCGGCCUUCUGGGUCGACCCUGGCGCUGAGAGGCGAAAGCGUGGGGAGCGAACGGG
rnacentral:rRNA from 1 species